rnacentral:rRNA from 1 species
GACGAACGCUGGCGGCGUGCUUAACACAUGCAAGUCGAACGAGACGAUUGAAAGCUUGCUUUUGAAAGUCGAGUGGCAAACGGGUGAGUAACGCGUAGACAACCUGCCUUUGAGAUGGGGACAACAGUUCGAAAGGACUGCUAAUACCGAAUGUUGUAUAUUUUCCACAUGGAAGAUAUAUUAAAGAUGGCCUCUAUUUAUAAGCUAUCGCUCAAAGAUGGGUCUGCGUCUGAUUAGCUGGUUGGUGGGGUAACGGCCUACCAAGGCGACGAUCAGUAGCCGGUCUGAGAGGAUGAACGGCCACAUUGGGACUGAGACACGGCCCAGACUCCUACGGGAGGCAGCAGUGGGGAAUCUUCCACAAUGGACGAAAGUCUGAUGGAGCAACGCCGCGUGAGUGAAGAAGGCCUUCGGGUUGUAAAGCUCUUUCAGCUGGAAAGAAAUCGUACUUAUUAAUACUAGGUGCGGAUGACGGUACCAGCAGAAGAAGCACCGGCUAACUACGUGCCAGCAGCCGCCGUAA